AGUCUUAACCGGGCGUUAAGUUGCAGGGUAUAGACCCGAAACCCGGUGAUCUAGCCAUGGGCAGGUUGAAGGUUGGGUAACACUAACUGGAGGACCGAACCGACUAAUGUUGAAAAAUUAGCGGAUGACCUGUGGCUGGGGGUGAAAGGCCAAUCAAACCGGGAGAUAGCUGGUUCUCCCCGAAAGCUAUUUAGGUAGCGCCUCGUGAAUUCAUCUCCGGGGGUAGAGCACUGUUUCGGCUAGGGGGCCAUCCCGGCUUACCAACCCGAUGCAAACUGCGAAUACCGGAGAAUGUUAUCACGGGAGACACACGGCGGGUGCUAACGUCCGUCGUGAAGAGGGAAACAACCCAGACCGCCAGCUAAGGUCCCAAAGUCAUGGUUAAGUGGGAAACGAUGUGGGAAGGCCCAGACAGCCAGGAUGUUGGCUUAGAAGCAGCCAUCAUUUAAAGAAAGCGUAAUAGCUCACUGGUCGAGUCGGCCUGCGCGGAAGAUGUAACGGGGCUAAACCAUGCACCGAAGCUGCGGCAGCGACACUGUGUGUUGUUGGGUAGGGGAGCGUUCUGUAAGCCUGUGAAGGUGUGUCGUGAGGCAUGCUGGAGGUAUCAGAAGUGCGAAUGCUGACAUAAGUAACGAUAAAGCGGGUGAAAAGCCCGCUCGCCGGAAGACCAAGGGUUCCUGUCCAACGUUAAUCGGGGCAGGGUGAGUCGACCCCUAAGGCGAGGCCGAAAGGCGUAGUCGAUGGGAAACGGGUUAAUAUUCCCGUACUUGGUGUUACUGCGAAGGGGGGACGGAGAAGGCUAUGUUGGCCGGGCGACGGUUGUCCCGGUUUAAGCGUGUAGGUGUGUGUUCCAGGUAAAUCCGGUUCACUUUAACACUGAGGCGUGACGACGAGGCACUACGGUGCUGAAGCAACAAAUGCCCUGCUUCCAGGAAAAGCCUCUAAGCAUCAGGUAACAUCAAAUCGUACCCCAAACCGACACAGGUGGUCAGGUAGAGAAUACCAAGGCGCUUGAGAGAACUCGGGUGAAGGAACUAGGCAAAAUGGUGCCGUAACUUCGGGAGAAGGCACGCUGACACGUAGGUGAAGUGAUUUACUCAUGGAGCUGAAGUCAGUCGAAGAUACCAGCUGGCUGCAACUGUUUAUUAAAAACACAGCACUGUGCAAACACGAAAGUGGACGUAUACGGUGUGACGCCUGCCCGGUGCCGGAAGGUUAAUUGAUGGGGUCAGCGCAAGCGAAGCUCCUGAUCGAAGCCCCGGUAAACGGCGGCCGUAACUAUAACGGUCCUAAGGUAGCGAAAUUCCUUGUCGGGUAAGUUCCGACCUGCACGAAUGGCGUAAUGAUGGCCAGGCUGUCUCCACCCGAGACUCAGUGAAAUUGAACUCGCUGUGAAGAUGCAGUGUACCCGCGGCAAGACGGAAAGACCCCGUGAACCUUUACUAUAGCUUGACACUGAACAUUGAGCCUUGAUGUGUAGGAUAGGUGGGAGGCUUUGAAGUGUGGACGCCAGUCUGCAUGGAGCCGACCUUGAAAUACCACCCUUUAAUGUUUGAUGUUCUAACGUGGACCCGUUACCCGGGUUGCGGACAGUGUCUGGUGGGUAGUUUGACUGGGGCGGUCUCCUCC
rnacentral:rRNA from 1 species